rnacentral:rRNA from 1 species
UACGGAGGGUGCAAGCGUUAUCCGGAUUCACUGGGUUUAAAGGGUGCGUAGGCGGGCAGGUAAGUCCGUGGUGAAAUCUCUGAGCUUAACUCAGAAACUGCCAUGGAUACUAUUUGUCUUGAAUAUUGUGGAGGUAAGCGGAAUAUGUCAUGUAGCGGUGAAAUGCUUAGAUAUGACAUAGAACACCAAUUGCGAAGGCAGCUUACUACACAGAUAUUGACGCUCAUGCACGAAAGCGUGGGGAUCAAACAGG